AACAGGCCAGUCGGGGGUAUCUGGAACGGAAAGAUUGAUGAGCUUAGCUCUAUCACCCAGAGCCUUAAAAAGGACUUCAUAGACAGACGAUUGGUAUUUCCUGAUAUGAAGAGUUGACGAAAGAGCGAUUUGCGGAGAUAUUGAGAUAAGGUGGUCAAAUCUGCAAAGGGGAUCAUCAACCUUGAAAAUGAAAACUCCGUUGAAGUUGUCUCGAAGCGGGUCGUUUAACAUUUUCAAGGUAGUAAGAGCCUCGUGGCGUAGCAGAGAGUAUGACCAGGGGGUCAUUUUAUAGAGGAUGUUCAUUCCUCGUUUUCCAUCAA
rnacentral:sRNA from 1 species